AAAACAAACAAAGACAUGGAUUUACUGUGCAUAUUAGCAGAUCCAUACUGGAAAAUGCAUGGAGGUUUCAUAUACACCACUUACAGGUUUCCAAAGCCACAAUUUCCUUCAUAUGUUCAAACUCUUCAGGAUGCAGAAAGGCAGUGAACUCCUCCGGAGUAGCUGUCAGGUCACCAUUGAGGUCUGCAGCUUUGAAUCUUCUCUCAUCACGUGGCAGCAUCUUUUUAAAGGUGUGAUGAUCUGAAGAAUCAUGAAACUCUGCGGGGUUUCCUAGGUUUUCAGCUCCUCAGUAGUGACAAAGCCAUACCCAUCAUUGUCGAUUCGAUCAACAAUCUUCCCUAGCCUCUCCUUGCUCUCGUCCGGGGUGAGCUCGUCGAAGUUCUUGGAGUCCUCCUUGCCCAGGAAGGCCUCGUGGUCGUACUGGAAGCUCUGGUUGUCCUCAGGGGGCCGCUCGCCCAGCUCCGAGUCGGGCCGCACCACGCGCUCUUUGCGCACCGUGGGCUUGGCCCGCAGAAC
rnacentral:lncRNA from 1 species